rnacentral:rRNA from 1 species
GUGGGGAAUAUUGGACAAUGGGCGAAAGCCUGAUCCAGCCAUGCCGCGUGUGUGAAGAAGGUCUUCGGAUUGUAAAGCACUUUAAGUUGGGAGGAAGGGCAGUAAGUUAAUACCUUGCUGUUUUGACGUUACCGACAGAAUAAGCACCGGCUAACUUCGUGCCAGCAGCCGCGGUAAUACGAAGGGUGCAAGCGUUAAUCGGAAUUACUGGGCGUAAAGCGCGCGUAGGUGGUUUGGUAAGAUGGAUGUGAAAUCCCCGGGCUCAACCUGGGAACUGCAUCCAUAACUGCCUGACUAGAGUACGGUAGAGGGUGGUGGAAUUUCCUGUGUAGCGGUGAAAUGCGUAGAUAUAGGAAGGAACACCAGUGGCGAAGGCGACCACCUGGACUGAUACUGACACUGAGGUGCGAAAGCGUGGGGAGCAAACAGGAUUAGAAACCCCUGUAGUCC